UUGGCCGAUAUACACCUUUGCAUUUGUACUCUAAGUCUAUCUCUGCUCGGAGCUUCUGAUCAGCAGAAAAAUCCGACAAUGGUGGUGCUUCGCCGAAGAGGAACCCAGGCGCCAAACCCUAGGGCCGAUCCUCCACCGUAUGCAGCGGCAGAUUCUGGUGACUCCGAAUCCAAUUCCGAUUCGGGUUCGGAUUCGGACACAGUCUGCGAGGAGUGCGGAUCCGAAGAACUACCUGCGAAGCUGCGUCUCUGCGACAAAUGCGAUAGAGGUUUUCAUCUCUUCUGCCUCAGUCAAAUCCUGGUUUCUGUUCCUAAAGGCCCCUGGUUCUGCCUUCCUGCUCUAAGCACAGGUUGAGGUUCUCCCCAAAUGUAAUGCGUCUCCUUUUUAUUUGCUUAAUCUGAUUUUCUGAAAAAAAUUAUCGCCUUUUUUUUAUAAUUAUGCAAUUUGUGAGCUUAGGAUUCGAUUCUUACAGAUUCCGUUUCUGGGUUUUUGAGAAUGUUCUGAAUUUGAUUAGAAUUUGGAAUUUCUUGGGUUUAGGGUUUACUGUGAAUUGCGAAAAUACUGGUUUGGAUUUGAAGUAAUGGUGCCUUGGAAAACUUCACUGUGAUUCUAUUAGUUGCAAUCAUUUCCAAAUGGUCGCUCAUUGUCUUGAAGAACUCCCUAACCAUUGCUUUCCCUCUUGUUCAGACAAAGAUUAUAGACUUCUUCCGGAUCAAACUGUCAUUUGACUCAUCUCAGAUCUCGGAUUCAGUAUCAGGAAGAAGAGGAGGAAGGGCAGCGAUUGUCCCGAUCAGAAGCGAAAAAUUAACGCAAGGAAACCAAGUGAAAGUGGAGAUCAAACCCUGUACAAGUGGAAGACUGGGUCAUUCCAGUUUCAUUCGAGGUGGUGGUGGUCUAUGGGUUUAAUCAGCAUAUCUUGGGAUUGGUUUCUUGACCCCAACCGGCCUACAGGUGCCUAUAACCGGAUGAGAUGCGUCAAGCAGUUUGGUGGCGAUGAAGACGUAGAAGAGAAAGCUUCUUCCGUUCAGCCCAAGCAAAGGUCUUCAGAGGAGACUCGAGCAAAUGACGACUCUUUGCCACUUCCUUGAAAACCUCAGACACAGAGUUCAGCAAUGAGCUCUCAACUAUCAGCCCAGCAUGGCUCCAAGAUCUGCAAACCAAGCUGAUCUUGAGAAAGGCGGCGUGCAGAGAAGACACGGAGACCUUGAACCUGUGCAAGAAGAUGAUGGGCCGAGGGGAAUGUCCACUUCUUGUCUUUGAUCCUCGCGAAGGGGGAAGGUCGGAAGAAGCAGAGUCUGAAAUGCGUGAACGGGGGAGGAGCUAGGGUUCUUCUCGUAGCGAAUAGAGAUAUACCGAAGGGAGAAACGAUGGUGUUGUGAUUACUCCUCCAUGUUUGAUUGUCCAGCAAGUUACAGCAAAUGUCAAACUGAAAACUCUGCAGCAAACCCACAUUGGAUCACUCAAUGUCUGAUUCAAUUUCUUGGUUUUUAAUUUUGGAUCAGAAAGGACAAAAGUUGGAUGGAUGCUUACUGCUGUGAUCCACUAUCAAUGUUGGUCAGAAACAAGGCAGGACCACAAAACAUAAGACAUAAGAGAGAGGGGGAGGAGCAUAGUAUGGUCCAAACCCUAAGGGCUGAGCAUUCAACACAGUAGCUGGAAGACCCCUCCCCUCAUCUGAUUUGAAUGUCCCACUCUCACCAGACCUAUCUUUUUCUUUUUUGGUUCUUUUUCAUUUCAAGUAAAUAUCUUGAAUGAUUGAUUAACUGUUUUAAGUUGAUCCAUUGAAUUAAUUUGGUUAA